rnacentral:rRNA from 1 species
UACGGGGGGGCAAGCGUUGUUCGGAAUUACUGGGCGUAAAGGGCUCGUAGGCGGCCAACUAAGUCGGAUGUGAAAUCCCUCGGCUUAACCGGGGAACUGCGUCCGAUACUGGAUGGCUUGAGGUUGGGAGAGGGAUGCGGAAUUCCAGGUGUAGCGGUGAAAUGCGUAGAUAUCUGGAGGAACACCGGUGGCGAAGGCGGCAUCCUGGACCAAUUCUGACGCUGAGUGAGCGAAAGCCAGGGAGCAAACGGG